GACGAACGCUGGCGGCGUGCCUAAUACAUGCAAGUAGAACGCUGAAGGAGGAGCUUGCUUCUCCGGAUGAGUUGCGAACGGGUGAGUAACGCGUAGGUAACCUGCCUGGUAGCGGGGGAUAACUAUUGGAAACGAUAGCUAAUACCGCAUAACAGUAGAUAUUGCAUGAUAUCUGCUUGAAAGGUGCAAUUGCAUCACUACCAGAUGGACCUGCGUUGUAUUAGCUAGUUGGUGGGGUAACGGCUCACCAAGGCGACGUUCCAUAGCCGACCUGAGAGGGAGACCGGCCAACCGGGGACUGAGACACGGCCCAGACUCCGUCGGGAGGAAGCAGUAGGGAAUGUUGGGCAAUGGGAGGAAGUCUGACCGAGCAACGCCGGGUGGAGGAUGAAGGUUUUCGGGUGGAAAAAUUCUUUUGGAAGGAAAGAAAGGGUGUGUACGGAGAAAGGCAAAACUUGGAGGUAUCUUAACCAGAAGGACCGGGUAACUAAGUG
rnacentral:rRNA from 1 species